AUUACCAGUUUCCCAAAAAAAAUAAAAAAACAAAAAAAUAAAAAAUCAGGGGUUAAUUUCUUAUUUUCCAAAGAAAGAGUACCAGAGUACUAAUUCCAAGAAACCCGUACUGCUUCUGGCGCCAUUCCAACCGCCUCAAAGUACUAAAAAUCCCUUCCAUCAUGCUCCGCGUAGUCGUACAAUUUCCACUUUAACUAUCAUUCUCGCCGGCGGCCAUGUCCUCCGACACCGGAACCCUAACCCUAACCUCCACCACUCUAUACACAACAGCUCUGAACAAAUCCUCAUCAAAUUCAGUCUCACUAUCCCUCUCCCCGAUCCCUUCUUCAAUCCCUCAACCAAAACUCAUCCCUAAAACUCGCUUCAUCAUCGACGGUUUCAAAUACGCUAACGAUUUCUCCGUUUCAUACUUCCUCUCACAUUUCCACUCCGAUCACUAUACUGGCCUUUCCUCUAAUUGGUCUAAAGGUAUCAUUUUCUGCUCUUCCAUCACUGCUAACCUACUUAUCAAAGUCCUCAAUGUUCCAAAGCAGUUUGUAGUGUCUUUGCCGCUGUCGAAAAAGGUUUUAAUUGACGGUUCUGAGGUUUUUUUAGUUGAUGCUAAUCAUUGUCCCGGUGCUGUGCAAUUUUUGUUUAAAGUUCCGGUUAGUAAUGGGAAGUUUGAGAGGUAUGUUCAUACAGGUGAUUUUCGUUAUUGUGAUGACAUGAAAUUAGAGCCUGUAAUGGAUGCAUUUGUUGGUGCUGAUGCUGUGUUUUUGGAUACUACUUAUUGCCACCCCAAGUUUAUAUUCCCUAGUCAACAAGAGUCAAUUGAUUAUAUAGUUGGAGUUAUAGAGAAUGAGGGUUCAUUGAAAAAUAUCUUGUUUCUUAUUGCUACUUAUGUUAUUGGGAAAGAGAAGAUCUUGGUGGAGGUUUCACGGAGGUGUCGGAGAAAGAUCUACGUUGAUGGCAGAAAAAUGGAUGUUUUGAAUGUAUUAGGUCAUGAGGAGGAUGGGGUGUUUACUACUGAUGAAUCUGAAACUGAUGUUCAUGUGGUUGGGUGGAACGUAUUGGGUGAGACGUGGCCAUAUUUCAGACCCAAUUUUGAGAAAAUGGAUAAGAUUAUGAAUGAGAAAGGGUAUUCCAAGGUGGUUGGUUUUGUCCCAACAGGUUGGACUUAUGAAGUGAAGCGGAAUAAGUUUUCAGUGAGGAAGAAAGAUUCCUUUGAGAUACAUCUUGUUCCGUAUAGUGAACAUUCAAAUUAUGAUGAGCUUAGACAGUAUGUGAAGUUUUUGAAACCAAAGCGUGUUAUACCAACUGUAGGUACAGAUGUUGAGAAGCUGGACAGCAAACAUGCUAAUGCCAUGCGGAAGCAUUUUGCUGGCUUGGUCGAUGAGAUGGCCAUCAAGCAAGAAUUUCUUUUAGGUUUUCAUCGUUGUGUCCAAGGGGAGGAGGAUGUAGAUGCGAAAAAAUCUGGUCUUGCUUUAGUUAGUAUCACCGAGCAAGAAAACACAAAUGAAUCUGCUCAUACUUUAGUCAGUAUCAUCAAGCAAGAAAAUGAGGAUACUCCAUCAGAUGCUAAAAGCUGCAAUGCUGCUGAUAGGGAUACUGUUGACCAUUCCUCAUUUCCUCUAGGAGAACCUGUGUCGCGAGGUUUAGAAAAAAUAAGUGAAGGCGAUAUGGAGGAAAUACUAAAAGAACUUCAAGACUGUUUGCCCACUUGGGUCACUAAAGUACAGAUGUUGUAUCUCCUUAGUAUUUCGGGAAAAAAUGUUGUUGAUGCAGUCACAAACUUUUACGAACAUGAAACAGAAUAUCGUGAACAGGUCACUGCAAGUAAUUCUGUUACCUCUUCAUUUGAGGCCAACUCAGCAAAUGGGUCUGCAUUGCCUUCCAAACCAUGUCUUGGUAAAAGCCCGCAGCAGGAUGAGACAACUGCAUCAAGUAAAACCUUUAAACUGCCCAUCAUGUACAGUUCUAGUAGCAAAAACAUUUCUCCAGGUAAAAGGAAGAGAAGUACUGGAAACAAGUCAUCUAAGAAAGCAAAGGGACAUGCACGUAUGGAAUCUGGUGGACCGAAGCAAUGUACUAUAACAAAAUUCUUCAGUAAACCGGUGCCUCAUUCUUUGCAGAAUUUAAACAGUGAAGCUGAUAGUAAAAAUUUCCACGAUGAUAACAGCGUGCCACUGAAUGUCUCUAUUGAGAGUUAUAAAGAGGAAGCUGAUCGGUUUAUUCAGAUUAUGGAUGGAGAUGAGUCAUUAAGAAGUUAUGCUACCACAGUACUAGUGAAGACUAAAGGAGACAUAAGUAUGGCACUUGAUAUUUAUUUUGCAGAAUGCAAAGAUGUAGGAGAGACUAAUGGAGAUGGGAUUCCUAAAACAAUCAAAUUGGAGCAACCUCUAUGUGCUAAAGAGGUUUGCCCUUCUCCCAAAGAUGAUAAAUUGCCCAAAAUGUUGGGAGAUGAUGCUGAUUUAUUGUUGUGUGGAGUUCCCGUUGCGGAUAAUGCUGUAAAUUAUGUAUCACUUCCACCCGGGAAAUAUUCUCCCGUGGAACAUGCUUGCUGGAGUAAGGGGCAGGCUGCUCCAUACAUACAUCUUGCACGAACUUUUGGAUUGGUAGAGGAAGAAAAAGGCAAGAUAAAAGCAACAUCAAUGUUGUGCAAUAUGUUUCGCAGCUUGCUGGCCUUGUCUCCAGAGGAUGUGCUUCCUGCAGUGUACUUGUGCACAAACAAGAUAGCUCCCGACCAUGAAAAUAUGGAAUUGAGCAUUGGGGGUAGUACUGUUGUAGCAGCACUAGAAGAGGCAUGCGGAACAAAGAAAUCGAAAGUACGAGAACUAUACAACAGCCUGGGUGAUCUUGGUGAUGUUGCUCAACUUUGCCGACAAACACAGUCAUUACUUGCUCCUCCGGUGGCACUUACAGUUAGGGGUGUAUAUGCUGCUCUUAGAAGGAUAAGUUUGCAAGCAGGUAGUGGGAGCGCGAUCCGAAAGAAAAGCCUUAUUGUCAAACUCAUGUGUUCGUGUAGAGAGAAGGAGAUGAAGUUUCUUGUGAGAACUUUGGUUCGGAAUUUGCGCAUUGGAGCCAUGAUGAGAACUGUUCUUCCUGCAUUAGCUCAAGCUGUUGUGUUCAAUUCUACUCCUUAUGAAGGACUGGUCGAAAACCUGAAAGAAUGUCUGCAGCAACUUUCAGCAGACGUAGUUGAAGCAUAUAACAUCCUUCCCAGCUUGGAUGUUCUUGUUCCUUCUUUGAUGGAGAAGGGGAUUGAGUUUUCUUCAAAUACAUUGUCAAUGGCACCAGGCAUACCCAUCAAACCAAUGCUUGCAAAGAUUACUAAUGGUGCCCCUCAAGUGCUGAAGCUCUUUCAGAACAAAGCCUUUACGUGUGAAUACAAAUAUGAUGGUCAGCGAGCACAGAUUCAUAAAUUAGCUGAUGGUUCGGUCCGCGUAUUUUCACGGAAUGGGGAUGAAACAACAUCUAGAUUCCCGGAUUUGGUGAACAUAAUUACAGAAUCAUGUGGUCCCAGAGGAACAACAUUUAUCUUGGAUGCAGAGGUUGUUGCAAUUGAUAGACAAAAUGGUUCAAAGCUCAUGUCGUUCCAAGAACUAUCUUCACGAGAGAGAGGGUCCAAAGAUUCCAUCAUUGCGUUAGACAAAAUUAAGGUUGAGAUAUGCGUUUUUGUUUUCGAUAUCAUGUUUGCAAAUGGAGAACAAUUGUUGAAUCUGCCGCUCCGUCAAAGGCGAAAAUAUUUGAAGGAUUUAUUUGGUGACGUCAAAGUGGGUUAUUUUGAGUACGUGACAGAAAUGACCGUAGAGCGCAAUGAUGCUUGUACAGAUAAUGAAGCCACAUUAGCUAGGAUGAACAGCUUUCUUGAUGAUGCACUACAUUCUUCAUGUGAAGGGAUCAUGGUGAAAUCCCUUGAUGUAGAUGCUGGGUACACACCAUCAAAGCGCUCUGAUGCAUGGUUAAAGGUCAAGAGAGACUAUGUUGAAGGAUUAAAUGAUUCCCUGGACUUGGUUCCAAUUGGUGCUUGGUACGGGAAUGGAAGAAAAGCAGGAUGUUAAGGAAUCGAACUGCAAAUCCCCAGGAAUUUGAGCAUUUUCACCAAAUUAAUUGAGACAGCUUGGUGGGAAUUUCUAUUCUAAAGAUGAUUGUGCUGUACAGAAAUUUCUAGUGUUACCAAUAAAGUUGGAUUUUUGCUGCUACUGUUUGUCAUUUUGACAGUUCAGUGCUACAAAGAUGUGCAUUGUAUGAAUAAUCCUCAGAAGAUCAAGAUGAAUCGUUUGCUUUUGUUUCACUUUUGGUGUAAAGAAGAAUUUCUAGAUGAAGUAGAUUCAUUGCUAGAUAUCAUGGAAUCCUUGUAAGAGGACAAGUAUAUACUUUUGCUCUUUUUUAACUGCAAUUUUGGCUCUUAGCACAACUGUUGUAUUAAGGAUAUAUAAUAUUGUUACCUUUUUUUUUUUUUGGUUAGGAACAUUCUAACCUUAACAAAAAAAAAAAAAAAAAAAAGUGAAUUUGUGUUCCUAUAUGCAAUGCGUAUAUUGUAUGGACAAGUAUAGUCCUUUCCUUAUGGCCUGCUACAACCCUGACACAGAGGAAUUCCAGAGUGUCUGCCGGGUCAUGUCUGGGUUUUCUGAUUCCUUCUAUGUAGAGAUGAGAGACUUCUUCGAUGGGGACAGAA